rnacentral:lncRNA from 1 species
GGUUGGUUAUGGAAGGGUAAAAAUUUGGCGAACUUGAAACUUUGGGAAAGUCUGCUAAUUUUUGAGAUUUUAAGUUUAGGGACUAAAUUGUGAAAAUUAUAAAAGUGUAGGGAAAAUAUGUAAAUAAUUAAAAGUUAAGGGUUAUGUGUGCUGAAUUGAAUGUGAAAAAUAAUAGAUUGUAUUUAAUUAUUAUUUAGCUCAAGAACCAAACCAAAAAG